AACGUAGGAGACAAACGUUAUCCGGAGUUACUGGGCGUAAAGGGCGUGUAGGCGGUUAGUUAAGUCUGGCGUGAAAGCUCUCGGCUAAACCGGGAGAGGUCGUUGGAUACUGGCUGACUUGAGGACGGUAGAGGCGUGUGGAAUUCCGGGUGUAGUGGUGAAAUGCGUAGAGAUCCGGAGGAACACCAGUGGCGAAGGCGACACGCUGGGCCGUACCUGACGCUAAAGCGCGACAGCAUGGGGAGCAAACGGG
rnacentral:rRNA from 1 species